GCCACCUUAGCUCAGUCGGUAGAGCGUCUGCUUCGUAAGCAGCGGGUCGCCAGUUCGAAUCUGGCAGGUGGCUCAA
rnacentral:tRNA from 1 species